rnacentral:rRNA from 1 species
UUUUUGGAUGGUCCCGCGGCGUAUUAGCUAGAUGGUGGGGUAACGGCUCACCAUGGCAAUGAUACGUAGCCGACCUGAGAGGGUAAUCGGCCACAUUGGGACUGAGACACGGCCCAAAACUCUACGGGAGGCAGCAGUAGGGAAUCUUCCACAAUGGACGAAAGUCUGAUGGAGCAACGCCGCGUGAGUGAAGAAGGGUUUCGGCUCGUAAAACUCUGUUGUUAAAGAAGAACAUAUCUGAGAGUAACUGUUCAGGUAUUGACGGUAUUUAACCAGAAAGCCACGGCUAACUACGUGCCAGCAGCCGCGGUAAUACGUAGGUGGCAAGCGUUGUCCGGAUUUAUUGGGCGUAAAGCGAGCGCAGGCGGUUUUUUAAGUCUGAUGUGAACUUCGGCUCAACCGAAGAAGUGCAUCGGAAACUGGGAAACUUGAGUGCAGAAGAGGACAGUGGAACUCCAUGUGUAGCGGUGAAAUGCGUAGAUAUAUGGAAGAACACCAGUGGCGAAGGCGGCUGUCUGGUCUGUAACUGACGCUGAGGCUCGAAAGUAUGGGUAGCAAACAGGAUUAGAUACCCUGGUAGUCCAUACCGUAAACGAUGAAUGCUAAGUGUUGGAGGGUUUCCGCCCUUCAGUGCUGCACUAACGCAUUAAGCAUUCCGCCUGGGAGUACGGCG